AAAUGAUUUAGGGUUUCUUUAGA
rnacentral:piRNA from 1 species